AUGGGCCACAGGCUGGGCAGAACGAGCGGCUGUGCGCGCAGGGGCAGCCGGAGCCCACAGCGGCCCAGUGUCUGUGAGCAGCUGCUGGGGAAGGCCCAGCCCGGCCUGGGCCAUCUCCAGCCCCGUGGGAGCCCCCAGCUCUUGCAUCCCUUCUGCUGGCGGCCCUGCGGCUCGGUGCCAGCUGUGGUGGCCUUUUGUCAGCACCAUCCCCGCUGCGAGGGGACCCUCAGCAUCAGUGUCAGCACAGGAGCUGGACCCCCCUGCUGCCCCCCCUCCCCCAUCGUGAUGCCCAGGCAGCCCCAGAGCAGCACACACAGGGGAGAAAGGAGGGGAAAUGCUGUAAUCCUGCUGCUGGGGGAAGCCCAGGGAGCAGACACAGCCCGGCCCUCAGGAAAGCCCUGCCCUGCUGCAGCAGUGCCUGCCAGCUCCCCAAGGAGCCAGCACGGGGCCGUAGCUUGCAGCCCCUGUGUGGGGCAGCAGGGCAGGGGCCUGCAGCAGGAGCAAGGCCCCUCUCCUGUGCCGGAGGUCUGGCCACAGCGGAGGUGGCUCAUGGCCUGGCCCCCGUGGCCUCCAGAACAGAGUCUGUGCAGGAUGGGGAGGUCACGCGGGCGCUUGCUCAGAGGGAAGCAUCUGCAUUGGAGGGGAUGGGAGGGAGUUUCCCAAAUUCCCCCUCCCACAGCAUUUCUGCUUUAGUUUUCUCUCCUGCUCUGGCCGUAUCUGCAGUGCCUGGAGGUUUUCUCUGUGCCGCGUCUUUUCCUUGUCCGGGCCCCCAGCCCCCAUUGCAGCCCCUGUGCGCUCAGCUCUGCCCCACAGACAGCUCCUGGCAGUGGGGCAGUGUAGAGGGGCAUCUGCGUGUUUGCAGGUGCUCAGGAGCAGCUGGGACAGAGCCUGGUGGGGCCAGCCAAGGUGCUGCUGGUGCUGUCGACGGGCAGAGAGUGGGUGAAGGCACUUUCUGAGCUUCCUCGCAGACCUGCUGAUCUCUCCGUCGGCUUCGGAGUCUGGGGCUCUGGUCCAGGCUUGGCAGCUCCUUUUUCCUUCCCCCCACGCCACCAGCAGGGAGCUGCAAGCAGAGACUCAGGGCAGCUCCUUGCCUUUGGUGUCAUCCCUGCGUGGAGCUUCCUUCUGAGAAGCCCCUGGGGAAGUGUCGUGGGGGUGAGUGGGAGCUGUGAGCAGCCCUGCCCCACGCAGCCCCCUCUGCAUGGGGGAAUGACCCUGCCCUGCCGGGGCUGCUCCUCCCCCCCAGAGCUUCCCCAGCCAGUGUUCAACCUGUUUGUAGUUAUCCUUGGAUGUUGCCUGGGGAAGGCUGGGUUGUGCUUUGUGUCUGCUGGGAGACCGAUGCUGGCGAGUUGUGAUGGCAAGAUCAGAAUGAAAUGUGUCUCUGGCUGAAAGCUGACCCCAAGGACGCAGGCAUCUUUUGCCGUCCUGAGCUUUACCUUCUGAAAUACCAGCAUGUGCUGCCUGAGAAUGUAUUUUUAGAGGAAGGGGUUUGCAUUUAACAUCACCCCCCCACACUACUUUGUGUGUGACUUUAAUAGCCUAUUCACAGCAGAUAUUCUCUGUUCUGUGAAAGUGGCAGUUAAAGGUACCAGUUAUGUUGUAAG
rnacentral:lncRNA from 1 species